AGAGUUUGAUCCUGGCUCAGAUUGAACGCUGGCGGCAUGCUUUACACAUGCAAGUCGAACGGUAACGCGGGGCAACCUGGCGACGAGUGGCGAACGGGUGAGUAAUGCAUCGGAACGUGCCCAGUAGUGGGGGAUAGCCCGGCGAAAGCCGGAUUAAUACCGCAUACGACCUACGGGUGAAAGGGGGGGAUCGCAAGACCUCUCGCUAUUGGAGCGGCCGAUGUCAGAUUAGCUAGUUGGUGGGGUAAAGGCCUACCAAGGCGACGAUCCGUAGCGGGUCUGAGAGGAUGAUCCGCCACACUGGGACUGAGACACGGCCCAGACUCCUACGGGAGGCAGCAGUGGGGAAUUUUGGACAAUGGGCGCAAGCCUGAUCCAGCCAUGCCGCGUGAGUGAAGAAGGCCUUCGGGUUGUAAAGCUCUUUCAGACGGAAAGAAAUCGCGCGGGCGAAUAACCUGCGUGGAUGACGGUACUGUCAGAAGAAGCACCGGCUAACUACGUGCCAGCAGCCGCGGUAAUACGUAGGGUGCGAGCGUUAAUCGGAAUUACUGGGCGUAAAGCGUGCGCAGGCGGUUGUGUAAGACAGGUGUGAAAUCCCCGGGCUUAACCUGGGAACUGCGCUUGUGACUGCACGGCUAGAGUACGGCAGAGGGGGGUGGAAUUCCACGUGUAGCANUGAAAUGCGUANAGAUGUGGAGGAACACCGAUGGCGAANGCAGCCCCCUGGGCCGAUACUGACGCUCAUGCACNAAAGCGUGGGGAGCAAACANGAUUANAUACCCUGGUANUCCACNCCCUAAAC
rnacentral:rRNA from 1 species